AUGGACGCCUCCCAGCUCCACAUCUUAGGGUCACCCAAUGGGGUUAUCUGAAGAACAGGAAUGGAGAAGUGAAGACGACUCUUGUGCAGCCCAAUAAAAAACAGAAAAGACCAAUACGGCUUCACAGUGGUCAAUGGAGUCCCAGAGGAAUUACUGGAAACCAAUAGCAACGCUCGCCUGGAUGUCCCGGGGCUGGUGCAGAGCGAGUUGCCGUCUGGGAUGCGGUGGCCGCCUACGUACAAGAGCACCUCCUGGUGCAGAAGGUGGGUUGGCUGCCGGGUUCCUCCUCUCCCUGUCCUCCUCAGCCAAGACUUCCUCCCACUCUUCCCCUCCACAGAAAGCAGGAAAUCACCCCACGUGUCUCUACUGGGCAUGCCAUGGGCUUCCUGCAAAUCCCGCAGGAUCACUUGUGCUGGGCGCUGUCCUGUCUCAGGGCUGAUCCCGCUCGCGGGAAGCCUCUGGAUCCCAUCAGGCUGCUUCUGCCCUG
ensembl:lncRNA